rnacentral:rRNA from 1 species
AGCGAACGCUGGCGGCAGGCUUAACACAUGCAAGUCGAGUGGGCAUCCUUGUGGUGUCAGCGGCAGACGGGUGAGUAACGCGUGGGAACGUGCCCUUCGGUUCGGAAUAACUCAGGGAAACUUGAGCUAAUACCGGAUACGUGCGAGAGCAGAAAGGUUUAUCUGCCGAAGGAUCGGCCCGCGUCUGAUUAGCUAGUUGGUGAGGUUACGGCUCACCAAGGCGACGAUCAGUAGCUGGUCUGAGAGGAUGAUCAGCCACACUGGGACUGAGACACGGCCCAGACUCCUACGGGAGGCAGCAGUGGGGAAUAUUGGACAAUGGGGGCAACCCUGAUCCAGCCAUGCCGCGUGAGUGAUGACGGCCUUAGGGUUGUAAAGCUCUUUUCUCCGGGACGAUAAUGACGGUACCGGAGGAAUAAGCCCCGGCUAACUUCGUG